UACGUAGGGGGCAAGCGUUGUCCGGAAUUAUUGGGCGUAAAGAGCGCGUAGGCGGUCCGAUAAGUCGGCUGUGAAAGUCAGGGGCUCAACCCUUGAAAGCCGGCCGAUACUGUCGGACUAGAGUCCGGAAGAGGCGAGUGGAAUUCCUGGUGUAGCGGUGGAAUGCGCAGAUAUCAGGAGGAACACCGAUGGCGAAGGCAGCUCGCUGGGACGGUACUGACGCUGAUGCGCGAAAGCCAGGGGAGCGAAGCGGG
rnacentral:rRNA from 1 species